rnacentral:rRNA from 1 species
GUGCCAGCAGCCGCGGUAAUACGGAGGGGGCUAGCGUUGUUCGGAAUUACUGGGCGUAAAGGGCGCGUAGGCGGGCGAUCAAGUCAGGGGUGAAAGGCCUGGGCUCAACCUGGGAACUGCCUUUGAAACUGAUUGUCUAGAGUCCGGAAGAGGAUGGCGGAAUUCCCAGUGUAGAGGUGAAAUUCGUAGAUAUUGGGAAGAACACCAGUGGCGAAGGCGGCCAUCUGGUCCGGUACUGACGCUGAGGCGCGAAAGCGUGGGGAGCAAACAGGAUUAGAUACCCUGGUAGUCCACGCCGUAAACGAUGUGUGCUAGCCGUUGGGGAACCUAGUUUCUCGGUGGCGCAGCUAACGCGUUAAGCACACCGCCUGGGGAGUACGGUCGCAAGAUUAAAACUCAAAUGAAUUGACGG